rnacentral:misc_RNA from 1 species
GAAUGUAAUUGUUCCAUUAGUAGUGUGGUAUAGGAGAUGGUGAGACCAAGAGAGUGCUGAGACGCGUGCAAGUAUCGACGAAGAUCCUGGGAAUCGUUUAUUAAAUAAAUCUAAAACUAUUUUAAUAUAAAUCCUAACCCCAAUCUAAGUAUUCCUUUACUUUUAUUUCGGCGAUUAACCCUUUUCCUUCGGCAGUCCAGUCUGCCGAAGUACCCUCACUGAACGGAAACGCGCGCCAGAAAUACGCACAGUGUGCGUGGUUGCUGUAUGUUGAGGUUAUUAGAUGUAUGCAUAGAGGAACGCGUGGAUAAAUUGUAAAGUAGAAAGUAUAUUUUAAUACAGAAGUGUAAGUACAAGUAGGAAUAUAAUUUGAGCUGGUCCCGAUCCGCACGCUAGCAGUGCUACCCUAUAACUGAAAAUCCCGAAGCCAUCGUCACCUGUCUAUUGUCUAUGGUCUGCCUUCGUCCCAGUCUAUUGUCUAUACGCUGUCGAU